rnacentral:rRNA from 1 species
AGAGUUAAAAGUCGAACAAGGUCUCCGUUGGUGAACCAGCGGAGGAUCAUUA